AUUUUAGUGACCUUAAUGUAGUUAACAAACACAUAUAUUAUACAAACACACAUUUAAUAAAUAAUUUUUUGACACGCCCACAAGCGACAAAUGUGGGGCGACAUAAGCGACUCAUCACGUUCUAGUGUGAACGCAGGGUCACACGUCCCUCAGAUAGAAAGGCGAGUUUUACGGAUGCAGGUAACAAUAGCAGUUCCUGGUUUUUGGAGGCUGGGCUAAGCUGCUGCAGCAGAAAGUGUUGUGCUGAAAAAGGACUUGAUGAUUAAUGUCGUUCCUACAGGUGCACUAUCUGGGGAGGACGUAUUCAAAAGAACGAGGAAAUGAGAAGAGCAGUGAUGUGGACCUGGCUGUGUGUGAGGAGUGGGAUGUGAAGACCAUCACUAGCGCUUUAAAACUCUACCUGAGUGCAGUAAGAGCUGGAAAAUAAGCUGGGAGAUAUCUGGGCUCCUGGACGGAGUGUGAGCAGAACGUGGGAGCCGCAGGGCCGGCCUCUGGUUUUGAUGUGUGUUUGGUUAUGUUGACUCGGCGUCGUGAGAGCCGGAGCUAGAUCACACACACAGGCUCGUCGCUCCGCCGCUGGUGAGGAGGGGAGCCGCAGAGCGCCGUGUUGACGUUGGCCUGUCUCGGCUGUGCCUGUACACAGGAAGUGCUUUGAUACUGAAGUCACGAGGUCAUGGGAUACAAGGCUCGUUCCAUCUGAUCUCCAGAAGCGAGGAACUUUCUCUAUUAUUUCCUUUAUCUUAAAGGGGAGAUAUUAUGCUAAACUCACUAUUUUGCAUGUUUUUGUAUUUCCACUUGGGUCUCAUCUGCCCUUAUAAACAUUAAAAACACUCCAAACACUCAAAAAAAAAAUCCAUCCGUCUGUUUUCUGUAAAUCAGCAAAGAAAGAGAAAGAGUUGUGAGAGUGUCAGGAAUUGUAUGCUUCUAUGAGACGUUUGGGUGCUCCCUUAUUCUGAUAUCACCAUAAGAAAACACCCCCCACCAGAGCCCAACCCACAAGAUUAGUUCAAGAAACGCCAGACAGUACAGAGCAGAAUAAGCCAGCAG
rnacentral:lncRNA from 1 species